UAUAUUUUAGUAUAUGAUGUACAAAAGUUUUUGAUACUUUUAGAGAUAGUUUAACUCUGUUAAAUAUAA
rnacentral:tRNA from 1 species